rnacentral:rRNA from 1 species
UACGUAGGUGGCAAGCGUUGUCCGGAUUUACUGGGCGUAAAGAGCGCGCAGGCGGUCGGCCAAGUCGAGUGUGAAAGCCCCCGGCUCAACUGGGGAUGGUCAUUCGAUACUGGUCGACUCGAAGGCAGGAGAGGGAAGCGGAAUUCCCGGUGUAGUGGUGAAAUGCGUAGAUAUCGGGAGGAACACCAGUGGCGAAGGCGGCUUCCUGGCCUGUUCUUGACGCUGAGGCGCGAAAGCUAGGGGAGCAAACGGG